rnacentral:rRNA from 1 species
GGACCCACACAAGCAGUGGAUCAUGUGGUUUAAUUCGACAAUAAACGAGGAACCUUACCCAGGCUUGACAUCCUUGGAAGUCCGCGGAAACGUGGAUGUGCCCGCAAGGGAACCAAGUGACAGGUGCUGCAUGGUUGUCGUCAGCUCGUGCCUUGAGGUGUUCGGUUAAGUCCGUUAACGAGCGCAACCCACGUCGUUAGUUACUAUGUCUAACGAGACUGCCUAGGUUAACUAGGAGGAAGGUGUGGAUGACGUCAAAUCAGCAUGGCCCUUACGCCUGGGGCCACACACAUGAUACAAUGGUCGGUACAAUGAGCAGCGAUGCGGUAACGCGGAGCCAAUCUCAUCAAAGCCGAUCUCAGUCCAGAUUGAGGUCUGCAACUCGACCUCAUGAAGUUGGAAUUGCUAGUAAUCGUGAAUCAGCUAUGUCACGGUGAAUAUGUUCCUGGGUCUU